rnacentral:rRNA from 1 species
AUGAUUCUUGUCAUUGCAAAUUUUCUCAAUGCUAAACUACCCCUGUUAUAUAUUAGCAGGAUGGUUAGACCAGGUGGUCGUGGUCGUGGUGGCGAUGCCCCACCACCACCUGAGUACAUGGCUGGUAUGAUCCAACAGUUUGAACUGAACCGCCAAUUCAUGGAAAAUAUGAUGGCUCAGUUUCCUCGCCCCAAUAUGAACCAGCAGCCAGCCCAAGUGACUCUUCAAGAUUUCAUACGCCUCAACCCAACCAUCUACCGCAGCUCAACUCAGCCUCUGGAUGCUGAUGACUGGCUCCGUGACAUCACCUAUGAGAUGGAGUCUGCUGAUGUAGCCCCUGCCAGCUAUGUCAAUUUUGCUUCCUUCUUCUUGAAGGGACCCACAGCUCAAUGGUGGGACAGCCACAUGCGUACUCUGCCAGCUGGAACAAUCAUCACAUGGCCAGACUUCCAAGCAGCUUUCCGUGCCCGCUUCAUUCCUCAAGGAGUCAUGGACCGGAAGAAGCGUGAGUUCCGCAACCUCACCCAAGGCAACAAAACCGUCGAAGCUUAUCAGCGGGAGUUUCUGGACUUGUCCCGCUAUGCUGAAGAAGACAUUGCAACUGAUGCACACAGACAGGAGAAGUUCCGUGAUGGACUACAAGCUGACAUCAAGCUCGCACUUCUAGUGCAUGACUUCGCC